GUGAAGAUUCGAGAGUAAAUUAGGAUGAGAAAUCGAGAAAUUUUGGUCUUCCGCGUACCUUGAAUCGACGUCGAGCAAAAAUGAAGGGUAUGGUUUGAAGUUGUACCAGAAACUUCACUGCUUGCCUUAUGUGUUGAAGUUCAUCCCAUGGUGAUCGUGCUGCCUGUUGGAGACACAAGAGAAAAAAAGAAUUAUAUAUUCUCCGUUGCUAACCGAACAACACUCUCGGCGAAGCAACAAACUGCCAGAAGAUAACUUUGCAAGUCAAGCUACCUCAUAUCUAAAUAUGGGACCUGGAGAUCAUUAAGACGCAGUCAAGAAACAGGAGAAGAUAGAUUAAGCUUGAGAUGAAACUCUUCCAAAGUUCAUUCUCUUACAUGGUUCUCUGCCAUAAAGGUUAAGAAGUUUUGUACCUUCUCGGACACAAGAACUCUUUCAGGAGGCAUUGUGUUUUCUACAGAAGCUGUCUGUCUUCGAAGAGAUUCAUUUUCUGACUCUAGAAUUGCAACCUUAUCCUUCAGGCUGAUAAGAGCUAUGUCUGAUAGAAGAAAGGAAUGCACUAGGCUGACAAAACUGAUGAGCUCACAGAACCGUACCUGUUUAACUCUCCAGACUCUUCGACCCUUGUUGAAGCGGCCAAAGCCUGCUGGCGCAAGACCUGAUUUUCGGAUUCAAGGUUUGACAGGUUUACCUGUUGAUCUUGAAGCUUUCAAAACCAUAAAUGUCGAGAACUCCGAUCAAGCUUUUAGCAUUCGGGUCUUGACCUAUUGAACUGUUGAUCUUAUCCACAAUCCUGCCAUUAUUGAGUUGUGCAUAGGUCACGAUUGGAGAUUGCUCAAACUGAGAACUGUUUAUCUAGUUAAAGGGGUUGGAUUUACAUACCAGUCAAACAACCUGGAGUAUACUGUCUUGGCUAAAGCAUCACGGUUUGAAGCUGCCGAUUCUGGGUCAAGCGGCUUUGUAAUGUUACCAUCUGGAGUUACAAUUACACGCUUGCAGAGUGAAUCUUCCAUCAUCUUCUCAUUGCACCUACGUCAAGUGAAUAAUUGAAAAUGUGUCAGCAUUGCCAUAGGAACUCUGCAGGACUUAAAGUCUAGUGGUGGAGAAUUGCAGCGACGACGCGGAAUAUGGCAUCCUAAAGUUGAAUUUUUGAGGAUUGUUACUGAAGACUUACCUCAGGAGGUGCUGCACAGAGCAUGUAGAAGCAGUGGUAGUUCCUCUCAGGGUCUGAGACUUGGCAAA